AUCACCUGGAAACUUUUUUGUUUCUUUCUUUCCCUGCUAAGCCCAGCAUAGAAAUAAAAGUAAUAAAGGAGACAACAGGCUUGGUGUUGAUUCCUCACCUGUUUGUAGGGCUGAAUGAAAACUCACAUCAGCAGGGGAAAGGCUGAGCUAUCCCCUGCACGCCAGGAAGGCAGCUGGUUUGGGAUGGACUCUGGUCCAACACCACAAAGCAGGCAUCUGCUAAAGGGAUUGGUGGUCUCUAGUUUUCUUGAGGAUUUGUAAGAACGUGAGUUAACUUCUAAAGGCCUGUUAGCAGAGCUGACCAGCCACACAAUUCUUCUCCCAGUGUCUGGCAUUUACAGCUUCCUACAUUGGUGCCAGGCCUCUUGUUAGUGAUGAUGUACGAACCAAAACAAAACGCGUGCUCUUUCCAUUAGCUGGAAACACACACAUCUCUCCCUCCUGCAACACAGAUUCCAAAACAUCAGCUUAUCAGUGUUAUUUAACUACAGCACAGCUCACUGUCACUUAAAAGAACUAUUCCAAUAUCCUCCUCCAGCACGGAAGGGCUCUGAUGGCCACCUAGAAGGGAUAAAAAGCCAGUAGGCCCAUUGAGAUGAGCUCACAAGAGUGGCAAAGGAGGAAGAAAAAAAACCCACCACUGGAAAGAUGAGCUUCAGAACUGCAUUGCUUUUUGAAAGAGACCUUUCAAGUAUCACUUCCUCUGUGGAGAGGAAGCGAGAGGAGCUGGAGGUUCUCCGAUACAGCUUCCCCUCCAGGACGAUAUAAAAGGAUGAGUGUUUUUAAAAAGAAAAAAAACCACCACACACCCAGAAAAAAGGAAAGCAGGCCAGCCCUGAGCACGCUGUGACCAAAUUAGGAAACAAACUCUACUGACAGCCUUCAAAACGGCCAUCGUCUGCAACAGCCUUGUGUUAGCUCAGGAAGUCUGAUGACUGUGUCAUCUGCCGAAAUCUGUUUAUGUGCAAACAGAAAGGAGAAGCAAAGCACCUCCUCGCACUGCACAUGCCAGGUUAGGCCAUCUCAGCGGAGACAGUCACCAGCUGCCCUGACACAAUGCUAUUGCAAACCUCCAGCGCUGACUCACCCCCCUCCAAAGGCAGCUCUGCCCUGGGAGUGCUCAGCUGAAAUGGAAGAAGACCUCUCCUCCCCUUCUCCUUCCAGGGGACCUAGGAGGAAAAGGCAAAGCUGACAGCUCAUCUCAGCCCCUGCUCCACCCUCAGCACAACUACAGCCUGCAGGGUCCUUCCAGCCCCAGCAGUUUGGCUACAGGACCACUCCGGUAACUUGCCACAUUCAAGGCAGCUGAGGACCUUCCACACCUCAGCACCACGUGCCCAGGGGUGCUCUUCUCCAACCCCUCAUGGAACCCAUCAGCUUAUCUCCAAAGCCACCGGCAGCAGUGACCACCACAGGCUCAUAGCUGCUCUCAGUGGCUCCUUCACCUAAAUGGUUGCAGGCUGUGCCCAGGGAGAGAAGGCGAGACAAGACUGCUGAGGCUGAACUUUCCGUCUCCACAUAAAGUUGUGUUCAGCUUAUUACCUCUAGACCUUUCCUCGGCAAAGGACAAAGCUACGAAGGAAAGAGAGCAUUGCUACCUCUUACGGACCUGACAAAGAGGUAUUCACCGGUCAGUAAACAGCGGGAGAAUUGCCUUUUCACUGAAUGGAUAUUGCUAUAUAAGGCAGAAAGCAAGCACAGGAGUAAGCUUUGUUGCUUGAAAUUGCACUGACUUACACAGUCUAUUUUAAAAGGGACUAGUUUGAGCUCUUGCUUUCAGCAACUUGCUUUUUUUUUUUUUAAUUCUCUAAGAGACAGAUACCCCAUUUAAACUGACCUCUUUCCUCAGGUCCAUUUCCAGGCUGGGCUUCACCCCCUCCUCCUCUGUCAGACUCAUUUAUCAAGUGAAGCAUUUCCACAUACCACUGCAUAAAUAGACUUGACCUUGUAAAAGCAGCAGCACCUGAGCUCCCACUAAUGGAGUCUCUCCACCCCAGCAUAGCAAUUAACCCAGCCCACUCCUACCCUCUUUCCAGGACUCAGCCGUAAGAUCUACUGAGGUUAUCUGCCGCCUACAAUCACCUCAACCCCACCUUCGGCCUUGGUCCCUCCCUUGUGCCCAUCCCUUCGAGAACAGAUAGGGAAAUCGCUGGCACUCCUGCUGCAGCACCGCCGGCGCUGCUGUUGAUAGCAUCGCCACUCGCCCUGCCUGCGGCACACAGCACCGCGCUGCAGAAGAGUUUCAAUGUCCUUUUAUGGAAGAAAAAUGAAAAUCGCCUGCCCAGCCAUGGAGGGCCUCAGAGCCGAGAUGACAGACGGAAACUUGCCAUUUGUUGUGGUUUUGGCAGUAAUAAAGCGGAGCGUGUUCCCAUGCGCACCGCUCAUUUAAAAAGGGUGCAGUGAAGGCACUGAGCUGGAGUAGAAAGCUGACAGCUCCAGAGCAGGAGGUUGUGGGGAUGCAGUGCUGAGGAGGAAGAUGGCAGAGUCAUGAAAAGAGGGCUUAGACCAUUCUGCUGGCCUGGACAAGCGGGAGACAGGCCUCUGGAUGAAAGUAGGCAUGGGUGUUCCAUUCCCCCCCCCCCCCCCCCCAGUAAGACACAUAGCCAGGUCCUCCACAUAGCAUUUCCCUUCAUUCCUCAUCCCAACAAAUUUUGCUAAACUGCAUUCACACAGACAUAGGAGGAUGGGAAGUCAAAUGCAGGAAUUGGGCCUCGAGGUCAUUGCCACCAGAAAGUGACAGGGGUCUGCCAUAGGGGAGUGCUACCUUCGGCUCUGCUCUCCGCUAAAGCUGUUACUUAGAGCUUAGUCCCACAAUCAAAUCGAAAUGAACAGGCUCAAGGAAAAGCAUACAGAGAACAGCAAUAAGAACGGCCAAACAGAGAAUGAGACAGGGUCACGGGACCUGCAAAAUGUUUGCGCUGCUGUCAGGAAGCUAGAUGAGACAGCAGACUUCAACAGCUGGGAAAACAUGUUGCAAAACAAGGAGAAUUAAGUAAUUCUCCAUACACACAUCCUAUUCCGAGGCAUUUUGGACAAGCUCAAUUUCUCCAAUGAGAACAAUUUUAUCCCCCCCCCCCCCCCCCCCCCCCCCCCCCCGUUGCACAUGCACCCUGCUAGUGACAAAUCUUGAUAUAGUUUAAGCCUAAAACCACAGCACAUCUGGAAUCAGGCAGGGCGGCUCCGGGCAGCAAUGGGCCAGCCUCUAGCACAGAAGUAAUGGGCCCUGUGGUAUGUGUUGGAUGACAUCCCUGCAAGGCUAUGUCAUCCUGAACACAUCCCCUGCUGCUGGGUACUUGGUUACACAAACGUUUCCCCUUGCAUCCUAUAAAACGGUUGUAACUGGAUCAUAGGUGGCUGGGGCUGCUUCGUUACCCGCCUCUGAAUGCCCCAUUACCACACCAGGUACACAGAUCACAGGCACUGCAGCAUGCCCCUUAGCUCCUUCUGUAGCUUUAAGUCUCGUUAAUCACGCAACAAUUUCUUUCAAAGCCACUCAUGUCCAAGUUACUGCAAACUGUACAACGUGACUUCGGCUUAUUAACACGGGUUGUGGACGCAGUGCUGGCACCCUGCUAAGAGAAGCCAUGUUCAGACACAGCUGGCUAGGGUGAGCUCUGUCCAAGCUUAAAAGCAGGUUAAGGUGAAGGUUAGAAGCAGCUGGGUGUACCUGUUUCUAGCCAGCACCCUGAAAUCAAUCCUGAGACAUUCCAGCAGCUUAAAAAGAAGUCCCCUAAAAUACCAAGUCUUAGUCCUGCAAAUUAAAAGUACAUGGAAGGAUUGCUGCGGCCAGAGAGCCUAACCUGAAGACUAAAAAGUAAAAGAAUGGGGGUUUUAUCCAUCUGACACAGGCACACCAGUGCUCACUUUUCCAGUGUGGCAGUUCAGAUGCCCAGCAGGCAAACCCAGUCCCAGCCCAUUAACAGGAUGCACUAAUGAGCCAAGAACAAGAGUGACAACUGCCCGGUCUGAGGACAAUGCAAUUUAGCAUCACGCAGCCAUACGCCAUCACCUCUUCACAUCCAGCCAGCACCGAUGCAGACACUGACUCUGUGCAAUAAAGUAACAAAACCCCUCUGCUAUGCAAAGGGGUUUUAAAGGAAAGUCUUGGAAAAUGCAAGUCCCUGCAAUGUGGCCUGGCUAUGAAAUGAGCGUCGAGGGCUUUGAGCUCUCCGGCACGGAGGGACAGUGCUGCUCUGUGCAUGCCUUAUUUCCAUGGCAACAGCUGCUUUCACCUCCCCAUCUCUUCGCUGGCUGAAAGCCCUGCAGUGCUUUGUGCUGAGACUGCAAAGAGGGGAAACUAUCUCCUUCACCCGCAACACGGCACCAGGGAUAGCAGCAAGCAGCCCAGGAACAAAAGCCUUGUCUUCACCAACAAUACAGGGUCUGGGGAGGAGGGAGGCUGAGCAGAAAGGACAGACUUCCUUUUCUGGUGGCAAACAGCACUUCCCUCAACAUGACAAAGUACACGCUCACUCCCAGUGCUGCACAAGUCAACAAGCAACACGUGCCUUUCCUAGUUUUACCAGAAUUGCCAGCUUUGGUUUGCUGUCAGAGCACUGGGAGGAGAAACUCACAUCAUUAAGAGACGAGAAAUUUGAGUGCUGCUUCCGUGCAGGGAUCCCUCCGCAGAGUAAGAUGGAGGUUGACCAAGCAUGCUGGCAAACCCUCCUGUCACCAGCAAGCUGGCUCCACACGUAGUCAGCAACCUGUUAGAGAGCAAAACCUCAAAACUCAGCCAGGUCUGAGUGAAAGCUGCCUCUCCCCCAGCACCAGCUCAGACUGCACACACACACGAGAACACAUCCAUAGGGUGGCUUGGGCAACACUUUUCCUUGGUUAAUUAAGCUUCUCCACCACCCUGCAGUCUGUGAUAUUAAGAUUCAGGCCCUGGCCACCUAACUAGGAGCCAAACGUCACGCCACAUAGCUGGAGCCACAGUGGCCCUGGCAGAUGGUGCAGGCUCAUCUGCAUGCUCUCCGUGCAGCUGUUCAGUCACAGAAGGCGACUGGCAGCUCUGCCUGUUGCUCAGGUUACAAUUAGCCACAUUUUGGUUCCUGCAAGGUGCAAAUGACUGGAACUACAGGUGAGAUACAUAAACAGUGACCUGGGUACGUCUAGAGCUCUUACUGAGCUCAGCACACGUAUAUACAGCCAAAAUGAAGGCUCCUAGCUAGUUCCCAUCACUUAGUUUACAACACAUCCAUAGCUGGCCCAAAUACAAAUGAACCUCUCUGCAAGAUUUAAAGGAAAGCCUAAGAGUAUCAAGAUGAACUCUCAAAGCAAGAGAAGGAUCCAGGUGGUGGAGCACAGAAAUACAACGGGUCCACCAUCUGGUCCUCCUCUCCCCACCCUUGACAAGCCUUGAGGUUUCAGGAGAGGCACAUUUUGACCUUUCGCUUUCCACACUUCCCCUUGUUUUAGGUUCAGCUGUGUAAGUGCAGUCCUUCCAACCCGAGAGGGACUCCUUCCAGGAUCAGUCAUCACCACUGCCGAGUCUGCCAGAGGCGCUGCUACCAAAGCCAGCGCAUCCUCUCCAACCACCGUAGAGUUCCCUAGAUUAGCCCUUUCCUCCCUAAGGGCAACAGUUUCCUGCAAGCAAGAGCAUUAACUGGAAUUCUUCAUUCUGGAGAAAGACAAGAUAGCAGGAAUAUGAAGAACCACUGCAGCUGAUGCUGUGAGACAACACCACAUCCUGCUAUCUGAAUUCCUCACUCUCAACUUCAAAUCCCAAAGUCAUUCAAGACUUCUAAGAAGAGCACAAAGCUACUCAGCAGAUUUUCAGCUAAUGAAUCAACACAAGCUGUCCAGGAAACCAGAAAUCCAGCCCACUGGAAUGCUGUAACCCCAGGGAGGGGGGUACAGGCAGUACACUAGGAAGGAAAUGAAACAGCAAACCAGAAGGAAAGGAACGUUUCAGCACUGACCCCUCUUACCCCAGUUACUGUGCUGCAUUACACAUUUUAAGAAAAAAUGAUACUUCAACUCAUUUUGCACAUUGAAGCGUUCAUGUUCUUCAAGCCUGAAUUUUGUUCCGUGGUGCCGACAUAUGUAUGUUUUGAAUACAACUCAGCUUUUGCAAAAACAGCAAGAAAAAAAUUUUCAUUUAAACGUGAAUCAACAUUGCCACCUAGUGACUAGCAAACCUCCUCCUCGUGACACUUGGGCAAUCCAUUGGAAUUGUAUUUCCUUCCCAAAUGCUAGCAGUAGAUGUUAGCAAAAUAUAUCUGGAAAUUAAGAGAUCAAAAAUGGAAUUGUGCAUCUUUCAUAAGCAGCUUUCCCCGCCCCAAGUUCAAUUUUCACUACAGAAUGCCAAGUUCACUGCUGGCAACUUCAACUUCUCUAGAAAGGAGUUUUACUUUCUAUUAAUUUCUCAAUACAGACAAAUGAUGGCAACGCAUCACUACGAGAACCCAAAGCUAUGGCAGCUAUAAGCAUAAGGCUAAUGCACUCAAAAGGAAUUUCAGUGAUGAGCAGAAAUCUCUGCUGGGGGACAGGCGGUUCCCUCAAUGUUGCACGAGAAUUCAUUGUUGUGGCUAAAGUUACACAAGACACUUUGCAGCACUGAUACUGUACUGCCUUGGCUCACUGGCACCAUAUGUGAGCAGGGUUCUCCAUACAUCCAGGAGACUGGGAAACACAUUUUUGUGCUUGUAUUUUUCCUCAGAACAGAUGGUGCACAAGCAGCAAGUUUUCCCCGCUCCAUCCCCCCCACUGGACCUGACGAUUCUCCCAUUACGGCCAUCAAUAGAUUUUAAGCACCACAAAGAUCUUCUGCCCUUUGAACAACUCACAUUCCAGUGAGCUCUUCCAAGGUUUUUUGUCACUUCCAACUGAAUCUGUAUUCAGGCCACAGCAAAAAAGAAAAAUGCAGAUGCUAAUUCUCUUAAGGAUAGUGCAUCAGGUUGUUUCAGCUCAUUCUCCAGAAGUUUCAUUAGAUAAAGGAUUACAACUUUGUUUUAUGCCUUUUAAACAUGCAGCUCCCUGUUCACCUACAACAUUUCUGUAUAUGCAAGACAGCAGCCUAUGGCAUCCAUAAGCUUUUUUAGCCAACAUCUUCCAAGGAAAGGAAGGAAUGCUGCUGUCUUUAUCGAGUGCCCUGAAAUUCAUCUGUCCAACCACAGGCUUUUAUAGAACAUCGGUAGGAUCCAGCAAAUAAUUUGACUGCUGCCCCAUGCAGCCACGUUAGAUAUUCAUUCACCUGCUACUCAGAAGUAUGAGCUGUCCUCCCAGCUCUCCUGCCCAACACUCCAGGAGAGACCAAAUGGCAAGUAUC